rnacentral:rRNA from 1 species
UGGCGGCAGGCCUAACACAUGCAAGUCGAGCGGUAACAUUUCUAGCUUGCUAGAAGAUGACGAGCGGCGGACGGGUGAGUAACGCGUAGAAAUCUACCUAGUAGUGGGGGAUAGCCCAGAGAAAUUUGGAUUAAUACCGCAUACGCCCUACGGGGGAAAGCGGGGGAUCUUCGGACCUCGUGCUAUUGGAUGAGUCUGCGUCGGAUUAGCUUGUUGGUGAGGUAAUGGCUCACCAAGGCGACGAUCCGUAGCUGGUCUGAGAGGAUGACCAGCCACACUGGAACUGAGACACGGUCCAGACUCCUACGGGAGGCAGCAGUGGGGAAUAUUGCACAAUGGGCGCAAGCCUGAUGCAGCCAUGCCGCGUGUGUGAAGAAGGCCUUAGGGUUGUAAAGCACUUUCAGCAGUGAGGAAAGGGGUGUCGUUAAUAGCGCCAUCCUGUGACGUUAACUGCAGAAGAAGGACCGGCUAACUCCGUG